UACGGAGGGUGCAAGCGUUAUCCGGAUUCACUGGGUUUAAAGGGUGCGUAGGUGGGCAGUUAAGUCAGUGGUGAAAUCUCCGGGCUCAACCCGGAAAGGUCAACUGAUACUGUGCGACUAGAGUGCGGAAGGGGCAACUGGAAUUCUCGGUGUAGCGGUGAAAUGCGUAGAUAUCGAGAGGAACACCUGCGGCGAAGGCGGGUUGCUGGGCCGACACUGACGCUCAUGCACGAAAGCGUGGGGAGCAAACAGG
rnacentral:rRNA from 1 species